rnacentral:rRNA from 1 species
UACGUAGGGUGCGAGCGUUGUCCGGAAUUAUUGGGCGUAAAGAGCUCGUAGGCGGUGUGUCACGUCGGCCGUGAAAACCUGCAGCUUAACUGUGGGCGUGCGGUCGAUACGGGCAUCACUGGAGUUCGGCAGGGGAGACUGGAAUUCCGGGUGUAGCGGUGAAAUGCGCAGAUAUCAGGAGGAACACCGGUGGCGAAGGCGGGUCUCUGGGCCGAUACUGACGCUGAGGAGCGAAAGCGUGGGGAGCAAACAGG